rnacentral:rRNA from 1 species
GAUGAACGCUGGCGGCGUGCCUAAUACAUGCAAGUCGAGCGAACAGACGAGGAGCUUGCUCCUCUGACGUUAGCGGCGGACGGGUGAGUAACACGUGGAUAACCUACCUAUAAGACUGGGAUAACUUCGGGAAACCGGAGCUAAUACCGGAUAAUAUAUUGAACCGCAUGGUUCAAUAGUGAAAGACGGUUUUGCUGUCACUUAUAGAUGGAUCCGCGCCGCGUUAGCUAGUUGGUAGGGUAACGGCUUACCAAGGCAACGAUGCGUAGCCGAGCUGAGAGAGUGAUCGGCCACACUGGAGCUGAGACACGGUCCAGACUCCUACGAGAGGCAGCAGUAGGGAAUCUUCCGCAAUGGGCGAAAGCCUGACGGAGCAACGCCGCGUGAGUGAUGAAGGUCUUCGGAUCGUAAAACUCUGUUAUUAGGGAAGAACAAAUGUGUAAGUAACUAUGCACGUCUUGACGGUACCUAAUCAGAAAGCCACGGCUAACUACGUG